AGGAUCUGACGCUGAUGCUGCAACAUUUUGAAGCUGAGUCCGUGCAACAUAGGUUUAAGCAAAUAAAAGAUCAUAAGAAAUACCUUAAGGCUGUUAUCGGAAGUUGAUCUAACCUGAAGAGGACUAGUAGUAGUAAUAAUAGUAGUAGUUGUGGAGGUGUUGAUUGAGACAUUGUGAUUACUUGCACACACCAGCCUUGUCCUUAUAGUAAAAGAUGAUUUGGGGAGUAGAAUAGGUGCUGAAAGAGUGUAUAUCAUAGCCAUUGAUCCUAAUGGAGAAGAUGGUGG
rnacentral:lncRNA from 1 species